GUUUGAGUUUCUUCUGCCUGAUUCAAAGCUAGUGAAUAAAAAAUCAGGUGAAAUCCCAAUUGCUUGAACAGUUGAGCUUGAUUUGGUUGCAUUUUCCCAAUUUAGGGUUUGUGUGGCAUAACCCAAAUCAAGAUCAAGAAUCUGCAACCCAGAAAAAUCUGUUGCACCAGCUGCCACAAUGUUGGGUGAUAAAGCUAACAAAGAGUCUAUAGCUGCAAAACUGGUCAAAGUUGUUGACUUUCUUUGUAAAGACCAAUCAAAAGAUGUGAUCUUGCUACCAUGAGACACAUGAACUGACCCAUUUGGGGUUGUGGCAAUAGCAGAGGGUGAAUCUCUACCACUAAGAGGCAAAAUGAUUGAUUUUUCUAAAUCAAAAGGUUCAAAUUGAGAUGGGGAUGUUGUUGUUGUUGUUGUUGGGUUCAGAUGAAUCAAAAAGGUUGGAGAAAAUGGUCUUGGAGCCAGCUAGGGUUAGGGUUUGUUUUGUGGUUUGAAAAAGCUGACCACCUACAUCAAUGGUGAUGAUAUUGGUUGAAGGUUGUUGGUUGUUUUUGUUUGAAAACCCAUUUGAGAUAGGGCUUGAUUGUGAGAAAGGAGGCAUCUUU
rnacentral:lncRNA from 1 species